rnacentral:piRNA from 1 species
UACCAGCCAUGACAAUGUGUGUAUAACCCCA